rnacentral:rRNA from 1 species
GACGAACGCUGGCGGCGUGCUUAACACAUGCAAGUCGAACGGAAAGGCCCUGCUUUUGUGGGGUGCUCGAGUGGCGAACGGGUGAGUAACACGUGAGUAACCUGCCCUUGACUUUGGGAUAACUUCAGGAAACUGGGGCUAAUACCGGAUAGGAGCUCCUGCUGCAUGGUGGGGGUUGGAAAGUUUCGGCGGUUGGGGAUGGACUCGCGGCUUAUCAGCUUGUUGGUGGGGUAGUGGCUUACCAAGGCUUUGACGGGUAGCCGGCCUGAGAGGGUGACCGGCCACAUUGGGACUGAGAUACGGCCCAGACUCCUACGGGAGGCAGCAGUGGGGAAUAUUGCACAAUGGGCGGAAGCCUGAUGCAGCAACGCCGCGUGCGGGAUGACGGCCUUCGGGUUGUAAACCGCUUUCGCCUGUGACGAAGCGUGAGUGACGGUAAUGGGUAAAGAAGCACCGGCUAACUACGUGCCAGCAGCCGCGGUGAUACGUAGGGUGCGAGCGUUGUCCGGAUUUAUUGGGCGUAAAGGGCUCGUAGGUGGUUGAUCGCGUCGGAAGUGUAAUCUUGGGGCUUAACCCUGAGCGUGCUUUCGAUACGGGUUGACUUGAGGAAGGUAGGGGAGAAUGGAAUUCCUGGUGGAGCGGUGGAAUGCGCAGAUAUCAGGAGGAACACCAGUGGCGAAGGCGGUUCUCUGGGCCUUUCCUGACGCUGAGGAGCGAAAGCGUGGGGAGCGAACAGGCUUAGAUACCCUGGUAGUCCACGCUGUAAACGGUGGGUACUAGGUGUGGGGUCCAUUCCACGGGUUCCGUGCCGUAGCUAACGCUUUAAGUACCCCGCCUGGGGAGUACGGCCGCAAGGCUAAAACUCAAAGGAAUUGACGGGGCCCCGCACAAGCGGCGGAGCAUGCGGAUUAAUUCGAUGCAACGCGUAGAACCUUACCUGGGUUUGACAUGGAUCGGGAGUGCUCAGAGAUGGGUGUGCCUCUUUUGGGGUCGGUUCACAGGUGGUGCAUGCCUGUCGUCAGCUCGUGUCGUGAGAUGCUGGGUUAAGUCCCGCAACGAGCGCAACCCUUGUUCACUGUUGCCAGCACGUUAUGGUGGGGACUCAGUGGAGACCGCCGGGGUCAACUCGGAGGAAGGUGGGGAUGACGUCAAGUCAUCAUGCCCCUUAUGUCCAGGGCUUCACGCAUGCUACAAUGGCUGGUACAGAGAGUGGCGAGCCUGUGAGGGUGAGCGAAUCUCGGAAAGCCGGUCUCAGUUCGGAUUGGGGUCUGCAACUCGACCUCAUGAAGUCGGAGUCGCUAGUAAUCGCAGAUCAGCAACGCUGCGGUGAAAACGUUCCCGGGGCU